rnacentral:tRNA from 1 species
GCGGUGGUGGCGGAAUUGGUAGACGCACCAGCUUGAGGGGCUGGCGGGGGCAACCCUGUGAUGGUUCGAGUCCAUUCCACCGCACCA